CCCUUAGAUGUUCUGGGCCGCACGCGCGCUACACUGAUGCAUUCAACGAGUUUCUUCCUGGUCCGAGAGGAAUGGGUAACCUUUUGAAAGUGCAUCGUGAUAGGGAUAGACUAUUGCAAUUAUUGGUCUUCAACGAGGAAUUCCUAGUAGACGUAGUUCAUCAGACUGCAUCGAUUACGUCCCUGCCCUUUGUACACACCGCCCGUCGCUCCUACCGAUUGGGUGUGCUGGUGAAAUGUUCGGAUCGGCCGUUUGUCGCGGUUUCCGCGUCAUGUGGCUGAGAAGUUCAUUAAACCCUCCCACCUAGAGGAAGGAGAAGUCGUAACA
rnacentral:rRNA from 1 species